rnacentral:rRNA from 1 species
AUACGGAGGGUGCAAGCGUUACUCGGAAUCACUGGGCGUAAAGCGCGCGCAGGCGGCUAUUUAAGUUGGAUGUGAAAGCCUACGGCUCAACCGUAGAACUGCAUCCAAAACUAUUUAGCUAGAGUGUGGGAGAGGAAGAUGGAAUUAGUUGUGUAGGGGUAAAAUCCGUAGAGAUACCUAGGAAUACCAAAAGCGAAGGCAAUCUUCUGGAACACUACUGACGCUCAGGCGCGAAAGCGUGGGGAGCAAACGGGAUUAGAUACCCUAGUAGUCC